rnacentral:lncRNA from 1 species
AACGCAAGAAAAGCUUCACUCCGGAGCGGCACUCGUGGGAGCGACCCAACCGAGUAUACAAGCGUGUCUCUGUCGAGCUCAAUCAGGCUCACCCAGACUAUAGUCAAAACAAAUAGGUCAAACUGGUCUAACCACCAAAAUUUAUGUGCACUCGAUACAAUCUGAUACAAUAUGUAAACAUCUGGAUCCACCAUCCUCCUCGACAGCACCCGACAGUACGAAACAGUCCAAACUCUACUGUAAAACGAGCUCGGCCCCUCAGCAUGAGCGUAAUCUCAACCUACACUAAACCAAGUAUCCACGAUACACUAACAGCGGUGAUACCAAAGGAAAUCAGCUCCUAAAGCUAAAU